rnacentral:lncRNA from 1 species
GGGACCCUAAACACACCAUAAACAAAUAAUUUAACAGAUAUAAUAGCGGACAACAACAAAAAUGAGGCACCACAACAAACAUAAUAAGGGACAACAACCAAACAAAAAUCAUACUUUAUGGGGACCACAAUGAAAGCAACCAUAUAGAAGUGAAAGCAACCAUAAAUAGAACGAAAACAAUCAUACACGCACCUUCGAAUGGAACCCACUUCGCUAUUGAAAAUACCUGACGAAGAAUGCCAAAUGCGCU